rnacentral:rRNA from 1 species
ACUCUGGGAUAAGCGUUGGAAACGACGUCUAAUACUGGAUAUGAUCACUGGCCGCAUGGUCUGGUGGUGGAAAGAUUUUUUGGUUGGGGAUGGACUCGCGGCCUAUCAGCUUGUUGGUGAGGUAAUGGCUCACCAAGGCGACGACGGGUAGCCGGCCUGAGAGGGUGACCGGCCACACUGGGACUGAGACACGGCCCAGACUCCUACGGGAGGCAGCAGUGGGGAAUAUUGCACAAUGGGCGAAAGCCUGAUGCAGCAACGCCGCGUGAGGGAUGACGGCCUUCGGGUUGUAAACCUCUUUUAGUAGGGAAGAAGCGAAAGUGACGGUACCUGCAGAAAAAGCACCGGCUAACUACGUGCCAGCAGCCGCGGUAAUACGUAGGGUGCAAGCGUUGUCCGGAAUUAUUGGGCGUAAAGAGCUCGUAGGCGGUUUGUCGCGUCUGCUGUGAAAUCCCGAGGCUCAACCUCGGGCUUGCAGUGGGUACGGGCAGACUAGAGUGCGGUAGGGGAGAUUGGAAUUCCUGGUGUAGCGGUGGAAUGCGCAGAUAUCAGGAGGAACACCGAUGGCGAAGGCAGAUCUCUGGGCCGUAACUGACGCUGAGGAGCGAAAGCAUGGGGAGCGAACAGGAUUAGAUACCCUGGUAGUCCAUGCCGUAAACGUUGGGCGCUAGAUGUAGGGACCUUUCCNACGGUUUCUGUGUCGUAGCUAACGCAUUAAGCGCCCCGCCUGGGGAGUACGGCCGCAAGGCUAAAACUCAAAGGAAUUGACGGGGGCCCGCACAAGCGGCGGAGCAUGCGGAUUAAUUCGAUGCAACGCGAAGAACCUUACCAAGGCUUGACAUACACCGGAAACGGCCAGAGAUGGUCGCCCCCUUGUGGUCGGUGUACAGGUGGUGCAUGGUUGUCGUCAGCUCGUGUCGUGAGAUGUUGGGUUAAGUCCCGCAACGAGCGCAACCCUCGUUCUAUGUUGCCAGCGGGUUAUGCCGGGGACUCAUAGGAGACUGCCGGGGUCAACUCGGAGGAAGGUGGGGAUGACGUCAAAUCAUCAUGCCCCUUAUGUCUUGGGCUUCACGCAUGCUACAAUGGCCGGUACAAAGGGCUGCGAUACCGUAAGGUGGAGCGAAUCCCAAAAAGCCGGUCUCAGUUCGGAUUGAGGUCUGCAACUCGACCUCAUGAAGUCGGAGUCGCUAGUAAUCGCAGAUCAGCAACGCUGCGGUGAAUACGUUCCCGGGCCUUGUACACACCGCCCGUCAAGUCAUGAAAGUCGGUAACACCCGAAGCCGGUGGCCUAACCCUUGUGGAAGGAGCCGUCGAAGGUGGGAUCGGUGAU